rnacentral:rRNA from 1 species
CCUACGGGUGGCAGCAGUGAGGAAUAUUGGUCAAUGGACGCAAGUCUGAACCAGCCAAGUCGCGUGCAGGAUGACGGCUCUAUGAGUUGUAAACUGCUUUUAUGCGGGGAUAAACGCAGACACGUGUGGCUGUUUGCAGGUAUCGUACGAAUAAGGAACGGCUAACUCCGUGCCAGCAGCCGCGGUAAUACGGAAGGUUCUGGAGUUAUACGGAUUUAUUGGGUUUAAAGGGUGCGUAGGCCGCCGCAUAAGUUAGUGGUGAAAGUCCGAGGCUCAACUUCGGAAUUGCCUCUGAAACUGGGCGGCUUGAGUGUGGUGGAGGUAGGCGGAAUGCAUGGUGUAGCGGUGAAAUGCUUAGAGAUCACACAGAACACCGAGUGCGAAGGCAGCUUACCGAGGCAUUACUGACGCUGAGGCACGAAAGUGCGGGUAUCGAACAGGAUUAGAUACCCGGGUAGUC